rnacentral:rRNA from 1 species
UACGGAAGGCAGCAGUGGGGAAUAUUGCACAAUGGGCGCAAGCCUGAUGCAGCCAUGCCGCGUGUAUGAAGAAGGCCUUCGGGUUGUAAAGUACUUUCAGUCGUGAGGAAGGUGUUAAGGUUAAUAACCUUAGCAAUUGACGUUAGCGACAGAAGAAGCACCGGCUAACUCCGUGCCAGCAGCCGCGGUAAUACGGAGGGUGCGAGCGUUAAUCGGAAUUACUGGGCGUAAAGGGCACGCAGGCGGUUAAUUAAGUUGGAUGUGAAUCCCCGGGCUUAACCUGGGAAUGGCAUUCAAGACUGGUUAGCUAGAGUCUUGUAGAGGGGGUAGAAUUCCAUGUGUAGCGGUGAAAUGCGUAGAGAUGUGGAGGAAUACCGGUGGCGAAGGCGGCCCCUGGACAAAGACUGACGCUCAUGUGCGAAAGCGUGGGGAGCAAACAGGAUUAGAUACC